rnacentral:rRNA from 1 species
AUUGAACGCUGGCGGCAGGCCUAACACAUGCAAGUCGAACGAGUGGCGGACGGGUGAGUAAUGUCUGGGAAACUGCCUGAUGGAGGGGGAUAACUACUGGAACCGGUAGCUAAUACCGCAUAACAUCCGAUGUGCCAAAAUGGGAUUAGCUUGUUGGUGGGGUAACGGCUCACAAAGGCGACGAUCCCUAGCUGGGCUGAGAGGAUGACCAGCCACACGGGAACGGAGACACGGUCCAGACUCCUACGGGAGGCAGCAGUAGGGAAUAUUGCACAAUGGGCGAGAGCCUGAUGCAGCCAUGCCGCGUGUAUGAAGAAGGCCUUCGGGUUGUAAAGUACUUUCCGCGGGGAGGCGUUACCCGCAGAAGAAGCAACGGCUAACUCCGUGCCAGCAGCCGCGGUAAUUC